rnacentral:rRNA from 1 species
AUUGAACGCUGGCGGCAGGCUUAACACAUGCAAGUCGAGCGAGCGGCGGACGGGUGAGUAAUGUCUGGGAAACUGCCUGCUGGAGGGGGAUAACUACUGGAAACGGUAGCUAAUACCGCAUACCAUCAGCUGUGCCCAGAUGGGAUUAGCUAGUCGGUGGGGUAAUGGCUCACCUAGGCGACGAUCCCUAGCUGGUCUGAGAGGAUGACCAUCAACACUGGAACUGAGACACGGUCCAGACUCCUACGGGAGGCAGCAGUGGGGAAUAUUGCACAAUGGGCGCAAGCCUGAUCCAGCCAUGCCGAGUGUGUGAAGAAGGCCUUCGGGUUGUAAAGCACUUUCAGCGAAGAGGCGUUACUCGCAGAAGAAGCACCGGCUAACUCCGUGCCAGCAGCCGCGGUAAUUC